GUGCUCACUUUGGCACCACAUACACUAAAAUUGGAAUGAUCCAGAAAUUAGGAUGGCCCCUGCACAAGGAUGACACACAAAUUUGCAAAGUAACACCUCAGUAG